rnacentral:rRNA from 1 species
AUUGAACGCUGGCGGCAUGCCUUACACAUGCAAGUCGAACGGCAGCGCGGACUUCGGUCUGGCGGCGAGUGGCGAACGGGUGAGUAAUACAUCGGAACGUACCCUGUUGUGGGGGAUAACUAGUCGAAAGAUUAGCUAAUACCGCAUACGACCUGAGGGUGAAAGUGGGGGACCGGAAGGCCGCACGGAGCAGGAGCGGCCGAUGUCUGAUUAGCUAGUUGGUGGGGUAAAGGCCCACCAAGGCGACGAUCAGUAGCUGGUCUGAGAGGACGAUCAGCCACACUGGGACUGAGACACGGCCCAGACUCCUACGGGAGGCAGCAGUGGGGAAUUUUGGACAAUGGGGGCAACCCUGAUCCAGCAAUGCCGCGUGUGUGAAGAAGGCCUUCGGGUUGUAAAGCACUUUUGUCCGGAAAGAGAUCGCGCUGGUUAAUACCUGGCGUGGAUGACGGUACCGGAAGAAUAAGCACCGGCUAACUACGUGCCAGCCGCCGCUGUAA